rnacentral:rRNA from 1 species
UACGUAGGCAGCAAGCGUUGUUCGGAGUUACUGGGCGUAAAGGGUGUGUAGGCGGUUCUUAAGUUUGGUGUGAAAUCUCCCGCUCAACCGGGAGGUGCGCCGAAUACUGAGGGACUAGAGUGCGGGAGAGGAAAGUGGAAUUCCUGGUGUAGCGGUGAAAUGACGUAGAUAUCAGGAGGAAGACCAGUGGCGAAGGCGGGUCUCUGGACAGUUCCUGACACUGAGGCACGAAGGCCGGGGAGCAAACGGG